rnacentral:rRNA from 1 species
CUUUGCUUUCUUUGCUGGCGACCGGCGCACGGGUGAGUAACACGUAUCCAACCUGCCCUUUACUCGGGGAUAGCCUUUCGAAAGAAAGAUUAAUACCCGAUAGCAUAAUGAUUCCGCAUGGUUUCAUUAUUAAAGGAUUCCGGUAAAGGAUGGGGAUGCGUUCCAUUAGGUUGUUGGUGGGGUAACGGCCCACCAAGCCUUCGAUGGAUAGGGGUUCUGAGAGGAAGGUCCCCCACAUUGGAACUGAGACACGGUCCAA